rnacentral:rRNA from 1 species
UACGUAGGGUGCGAGCGUUAAUCGGAAUUACUGGGCGUAAAGCGCGCGUAGGCGGCUUUGCAAGUCGGGUGUGAAAUCCCCAGGCUUAACCUGGGAACUGCAUUCGAGACUGCAUUGCUAGAGUAUGGGAGAGGGAAGUGGAAUUUCCGGUGUAGCGGUGAAAUGCGUAGAUAUCGGAAGGAACGUCAGUGGCGAAAGCGACUUCCUGGACCAAUACUGACGCUCAUGUGCGAAAGCGUGGGGAGCAAACAGG